CCAAAGGAUGAGAAAAUUUAGCUCUAGAUCGGAGUCGCUAUAUGCGGCAAUGACUCUUUAGUCAUGUAUUAUCUGAUGA
rfam:Aspergillus cristatus strain GZAAS20.1005 Scaffold_Scf_6, whole genome shotgun sequence.